rnacentral:rRNA from 1 species
GGGUCAAAAUAUAACACCGUCCGAUCCCUAGUCGGCAUAGUUUAUGGUUAAGACUACGACGGUAUCUGAUCGUCUUCGAUCCCCUAACUUUCGUUCCUGAUUAAUGAAAACAUCCUUGGCAAAUGCUUUCGCAGUAGUUAGUCUUCAAUAAAUCCAAGAAUUUCACCUCUGACAAUUGAAUACUGAUGCCCCCGACUGUCCCUAUUAAUCAUUACGGCGGUCCUAGAAACCAACAAAAUAGAACCACACGUCCUAUUCUAUUAUUCCAUGCUAAUGUAUUCGAGCAUAGGCCUGCCUGGAGCACUCUAAUUUUUUCACAGUAAAAGUCCUGUUUCCCCGCCACACCCAGUGAAGGGCAUGGGGUUCCACAGAGGGAAAGGCCCGGCCGGACCAGUACACGCGGUGAGGCGGACCGGCCAGCCAGGCCCAAGGUUCAACUACGAGCUUUUUAACCACAACAACUUUAAUAUACGCUAUUGGAGCUGGAAUUACCGCGGCUGCUGGCACCAGACUUGCCCUCCAAUUGUUCCUCGUUAAGGGAUUUAAAUUGUACUCAUUCCAAUUACAAGACCCAAAAGAGCCCUGUAUCAGUAUUUAUUGUCACUACCUCCCCGAGUCGGGAUUGGGUAAUUUGCGCGCCUGCUGCCUUCCUUGGAUGUAGUAGCCGUUUCUCAGGCUCCUUCUC